rnacentral:rRNA from 1 species
UAGGGAAUCUUCCGCAAUGGGCGAAAGCUUGACGGAGCAACGCCGCGUGAGUGAUGAAGGUCUUCGGAUCGUAAAACUCUGUUAUUAGGGAAGAACAAAUGUGUAAGUAACUAUGCACGUCUUGACGGUACCUAAUCACAAAGCCACGGCUAACUACGUGCCAGCAGCCGCGGUAAUACGUAGGUGGCAAGCGUUAUCCGGAAUUAUUGGGCGUAAAGCGCGCGUAGGCGGUUUUUUAAGUCUGAUGUGAAAGCCCACGGCUCAACCGUGGAGGGUCAUUGGAAACUGGAAAACUUGAGUGCAGAAGAGGAAAGUGGAAUUCCAUGUGUAGCGGUGAAAUGCGCAGAGAUAUGGAGGAACACCAGUGGCGAAGGCGACUUUCUGGUCUGUAACUGACGCUGAUGUGCGAAAGCGUGGGGAUCAAACAGG